GACGGAGGGUGCGAGCGUUGUCCGGAAUCACUGGGCGUAAAGGGCGCGUAGGCGGCUCAUCGAGUCGGGCGUGAAAGCCCGGGGCUCAACCCCGGAGGUGCGCUCGAUACCGGUGGGCUCGAGGCCGGGAGAGGGGGGUGGAAUACCCAGUGGAGAGGUGAAAUUCGUAGAUAUUGGGUGGAACACCGGUGGCGAAAGCGGCCCCCUGGCCCGGUCCUGACGCUGAGGCGCGAAAGCGUGGGGAGCAAACAGG
rnacentral:misc_RNA from 1 species